rnacentral:rRNA from 1 species
UACGUAGGUGACAAGCGUUAUCCGGAAUUAUUGGGCGUAAAGCGCCCGCAGGCGGCUGUUCAAGUCUGACGUGAAAUCGCUCGGCUUAACUGGGCGGGGUCGUUGGAAACUGAAUAGCUUGAGGCAAGGAGAGGGGCGUGGAAUUCCCGGUGUAGUGGUGGAAUGCGUAGAUAUCGGGAGGAACAUCAGUGGCGCAAGCGGCGCCCUGGCCUUAGCCUGACGCUCAGGGGCGAAAGCGUGGGGAGCGAACAGG